rnacentral:lncRNA from 1 species
GGGAAAGGUGGUCCUGUCAUCCGUGACCACGGCGUAGUAUGUAUCGGACCAGGCAUCAGUCCCCGUCUGUGGGGGGUCCUGGGGCUCCUUGGGGUUGCGAAUGGCCGUUCCUAUCUGUGUUUCGGUCCGCUAUGUAGAGUAGCCACGGGCGCCACCUCUCCACAUGCUUGUCUUCUAGUCCUCGUAGUGUAGCCUGUAUUAAUUCCGCUCUAUAUAUUUCUUCCACCCGUUCCAACCAUUGUCUUAUCGUCGGGGUAUUCGUUUGUUUCCAGUAUAAUGGAAUUAGUGCCUUGGCUGCGUUGAUUAGGUGUCUACGAAUGUUUUUCCUGUAUGUGCCUAUGGGAUC